GACGAACGCUGGCGGCGUGCUUAACACAUGCAAGUCGAACGGAAAGGCCCUGCUUUUGUGGGGUGCUCGAGUGGCGAACGGGUGAGUAACACGUGAGUAACCCGCCCUUGACUUUGGGAUAACUUCAGGAAACUGGGGCUAAUACCGGAUAGGAGCUCCUGCUGCAUGGUGGGGGUUGGAAAGUUUCGGCGGUUGGGGAUGGACUCGCGGCUUAUCAGCUUGUUGGUGGGGUAGUGGCUUACCAAGGCUUUGACGGGUAGCCGGCCUGAGAGGGUGACCGGCCACAUUGGGACUGAGAUACGGCCCAGACUCCUACGGGAGGCAGCAGUGGGGAAUAUUGCACAAUGGGCGGAAGCCUGAUGCAGCAACGCCGCGUGCGGGAUGACGGCCUUCGGGUUGUAAACCGCUUUCGCCUGUGACGAAGCGUGAGUGACGGUAAUGGGUAAAGAAGCACCGGCUAACUACGUGCCAGCAGCCGCGGUGAUACGUAGGGUGCGAGCGUUGUCCGGAUUUAUUGGGCGUAAAGGGCUCGUAGGUGGUUGAUCGCGUCGGAAGUGUAAUCUUGGGGCUUAACCCUGAGCGUGCUUUCGAUACGGGUUGACUUGAGGAAGGUAGGGGAGAAUGGAAUUCCUGGUGGAGCGGUGGAAUGCGCAGAUAUCAGGAGGAACACCAGUGGCGAAGGCGGUUCUCUGGGCCUUUCCUGACGCUGAGGAGCGAAAGCGUGGGGAGCGAACAGGCUUAGAUACCCUGGUAGUCCACGCUGUAAACGGUGGGUACUAGGUGUGGGGUCCAUUCCACGGGUUCCGUGCCGUAGCUAACGCUUUAAGUACCCCGCCUGGGGAGUACGGCCGCAAGGCUAAAACUCAAAGGAAUUGACGGGGCCCCGCACAAGCGGCGGAGCAUGCGGAUUAAUUCGAUGCAACGCGUAGAACCUUACCUGGGUUUGACAUGGAUCGGGAGUGCUCAGAGAUGGGUGUGCCUCUUUUGGGGUCGGUUCACAGGUGGUGCAUGGCUGUCGUCAGCUCGUGUCGUGAGAUGUUGGGUUAAGUCCCGCAACGAGCGCAACCCUUGUUCACUGUUGCCAGCACGUUAUGGUGGGGACUCAGUGGAGACCGCCGGGGUCAACUCGGAGGAGGGUGGGGAUGACGUCAAGUCAUCAUGCCCCUUAUGUCCAGGGCUUCACGCAUGCUACAAUGGCUGGUACAGAGAGUGGCGAGCCUGUGAGGGUGAGCGAAUCUCGGAAAGCCGGUCUCAGUUCGGAUUGGGGUCUGCAACUCGACCUCAUGAAGUCGGAGUCGCUAGUAAUCGCAGAUCAGCAACGCUGCGGUGAAUACGUUCCCGGG
rnacentral:rRNA from 1 species